GGAGAGCUGAUGUAAUCCUUGCCCCUGUUAUGAAGCCUUGGCCUCUCUUCUGUUGGACAGAAUUGUUCUUUGGAAAGUAGAAUAGAUGAUGAAAGCUCAGUGGGGGAACACAAGAGGUAGUUAUAAGAGGCUGAAGUAAAAGAAAGUCAAGAAUAUGAACAAUUCUGAGCUGGUGCUUGUGAUGCCUGGAGAAAAGCACUUGAUGCAAAAGUUGCAGAGAACUUUUUGCUUUCCUCAUUAAUGUAUCGAAGAAGGAGUUUUUACUCAAAGGACACGUACAAAGAAGUCAGGUUGCUUGUUCUGUGGAACACGGAGUCAGAGGAGCAGAUGAAGAAGAAAGAAGUGUGAGCUUGUGUGUGUGUGGAUUCAUCUUGCCAUGGAUCAGGAGUUCACCUUGUGAGAGCUCGUGUGGACAGGUGCCAUUUAUGCUCACUGGAAGACAGCCGGAUCUGAGGCUCUGCAGAGUGAGCUCUCCAUCAGCUGCAUCAGGUGGACUUUGCAUGAUCUGAAUUGUUUUUCAGCUUACAGCAUAGUUGUUUGUCUUCUCUCAGUUGCUUGUAGAAGGCACUCGUUUCCCUGACACUCACGCCAAGGUCUAUCCACCCUGCAUGCCACCAGCAUGUGAAACCUGCAACUGAAGUGCAGUUCUGCUGCCAGAACUCUUGGGGGCAUCUUCCCACCAUUAAGACCUCCACUGCCUACCUAAAUUUUUCUUCUGUAUUGGAAGGAAAUGUAAUAGUUACCUCCAGCAGACCUGGAAGGAAUAUAUGAAAACUGGCUCGUUUUUUUUCAGAAACUGUAAUUGUGACAGCCUGCAUGGGAAGCUCCACUUGCAAAGAUGAAUGUUUCAUUA
ensembl:lncRNA